rnacentral:tRNA from 1 species
GGUCGCUCAGUGGUAGAGCACUUGCCUUGCAUGCAUGAGGCCCUGGGUUCGAUUCCUCAGUACCA